rnacentral:ncRNA from 3 species
CGCCGGGCGCGGUGGCGCGUGCCUGUAGUCCCAGCUACUCGGGAGGCUGAGGCUGGAGGAUCGCUUGAGUCCAGGAGUUCUGGGCUGUAGUGCGCUAUGCCGAUCGGGUGUCCGCACUAAGUUCGGCAUCAAUAUGGUGACCUCCCGGGAGCGGGGGACCACCAGGUUGCCUAAGGAGGGGUGAACCGGCCCAGGUCGGAAACGGAGCAGGUCAAAACUCCCGUGCUGAUCAGUAGUGGGAUCGCGCCUGUGAAUAGCCACUGCACUCCAGCCUGGGCAACAUAGCGAGACCCCGUCUCU